UUAAUGUGUGUGUAUUUGUGUGUAGUGUAUACACUAAACACAAAUACACACACAUUAAAAAAAAUGUGUGUGUAUACACUACACACAAAUACACACACAUUAAAAAAAAA
rnacentral:miRNA from 1 species